rnacentral:rRNA from 1 species
AGUGAACGCUGGCGGUAGGCCUAACACAUGCAAGUCGAACGGCAGCACAGUAAGAGCUUGCUCUUACGGGUGGCGAGUGGCGGACGGGUGAGGAAUACAUCGGAAUCUACUUUUUCGUGGGGGAUAACGUAGGGAAACUUACGCUAAUACCGCAUACGACCUACGGGUGAAAGCAGGGGAUCUUCGGACCUUUCGCGAUUGAAUGAGCCGAUGUCGGAUUAGCUAGUUGGAGGGGUAAAGGCCCACCAAGGCGACGAUCCGUAGCUGGUCUGAGAGGAUGAUCAGCCACACUGGAACUGAGACACGGUCCAGACUCCUACGGGAGGCAGCAGUGGGGAAUAUUGGACAAUGGGCGAAAGCCUGAUCCAGCCAUACCGCGUGGGUGAAGAAGGCCUUCGGGUUGUAAAGCCCUUUUGUUGGGAAAGAAAAGCAGCAGGUUAAUCCCCCGCUGUUCUGACGGUACCCAAAGAAUAAGCACCGGCUAACUUCGUG